rnacentral:rRNA from 1 species
UACGUAGGGUGCGAGCGUUAAUCGGAAUUACUGGGCGUAAAGCGUGCGUAGGCGGUUUGCCGUGUCCUGUGUGAAAGCCCCGGGCUCAACCUGGGAAUUGCAUGGGAAACUGGCAGGCUUGAGUGUGGCAGAGGAGGGUGGAAUUCCGCGUGUAGCAGUGAAAUGCGUAGAGAUGCGGAGGAACACCGAUGGCGAAGGCAGCCUCCUGGGCCAACACUGACGCUCAUGCACGAAAGCGUGGGGAGCAAACAGG